rnacentral:lncRNA from 1 species
AUAGGCUUUGAUAACCUCCUGCUGGAUCUGCGUGGCCACGGGCAGCACGAAUUGCAGCAUCUUACCCAUGUCGUUGCAGGCGUUAUCCCGAGCCUCGUCCAUGCGCACUGCAUUCUCCGGGGCGGAGAACGCCUGGAUCACCUCCGCGAGGACCACUGCGCGCCAGAAGCAUCCCAGGGAGGCGUCCCGGGUAGGCGUCGGAGAACAGACAGCGGGCCCAGCGGAGAGCGCAAGGAAUUAGUGGAUUGAGGCUGUAGGUAACCCAAUAAGAUCCCAAGUCUUGGGGGCAAGCGCCCCACUUAGAAGGACGGUACCCGGCGUCCCCUACCCCAUUUUCCCGGCGGACGUAGCCAGGUUUGUCGCCCCACAUCCUCCGCCCGCAUCCUCCCCAGACCAGCAGCCCAUGCCUUGACUACCCCAGGCCAGCAGCCUAUGCCUUGACUAGGACGAUUCUCACCCUUUGCUUGCUCAGCGCUCAAGGCCGCCGGUUGGGUCGAGGCGGACGCCAUAGGGCGUCUGAAGCUCUAGGUUCAGCGGAGGUAAAUGGAAAACUCACGAAUAAAGAGCCACGUCCUACAACCGUUCCCAACGCCCCUGGGAGCGGAAAGGAAACAGCAUCCGGCGCAGCCGGAAGCGCCCAGGCGUGGCCCAAACCUUCAUACCCCAAGCUUACAACUGCAUCAAGACCACCAAAACUACCCAUAAUUUUUGCACAGUGAAAACAAUCUAUCAUUGGCAACAAACAUCAUAAGAGGGGCUUUCCGGUAAAAAGCCAGAAAGCCUACUAGACAAAUUCUAAAAGAGCUGUAACACUGCUGCGUAUGUGUUUGGAGAGAAGAUGGGAUAUAAAGGAACUCCACAAUUGA